rnacentral:rRNA from 1 species
CGCCUGUUUAACAAAAACAUGGCCUUUUGAAUUUAAUUUAAGGUCUGACCUGCCCAGUGAUGUAUUUAACGGCCGCGGUAUAUUGACCGUGCAAAGGUAGCAUAAUCAUUAGUCUUUUAAUAGAGGGCUGGAAUGAACGGUUUAACGAGGAACUGACUGUCUCAUUUUAUUUGUUUUAAAAUUUAAUUUUUUAGUUAAAAAGCUAAAAUUUUAUUGGAAGACGAGAAGACCCUAUAGAUCUUUAUAUAAUUUUUUAUACCUAUUUAUAAAUAUGAGUAUAUUAAAAUUGUAUUUUGUUGGGGUGACAAAAAUAUAUAAUUAACUUUUUCAUUUAUUUGCCAUUGAUAUAUGAAUAUUAGAUCCAUUAUUAGUGAUUUCUAGAACAAGUUACCUUAGGGAUAACAGCG